rnacentral:rRNA from 1 species
UACGUAGGGUGCAAGCGUUGUCCGGAAUUAUUGGGCGUAAAGAGCUCGUAGGCGGUUUGUCGCGUCUGCUGUGAAAACUCGGGGCUUAACUCCGGGCCUGCAGUGGGUACGGGCAGACUGGAGUGCGGUAGGGGAGAAUGGAAUUCCUGGUGUAGCGGUGGAAUGCGCAGAUAUCGGGAGGAACACCCGUAGCGAAGGCGGUUCUCUGGGCCAAUACUGACGCUGAGGAGCGAAAGCGUGGGGAGCAAACAGG